AGUGAACGCUGGCGGCGUGCUUAACACAUGCAAGUCGAACGAGAACGGAAUAUAGCUUGCUAUAUUUGUCAGCUAAGUGGCGCACGGGUGAGUAAUGUAUAGAUAACCUGCCCUUAAGAAAGGAAUAACAGUUGGAAACGACUGCUAAUGCCCUAUAUGCCUUUAAUACAUAAGUAUGCAAGGGAAACGCUUUAGUGCUUAAGGAUGGGUCUGUAUGGUAUCAGCUUGUUGGUGAGGUAAUGGCUCACCAAGGCUAUGACGCCUAACUGGUUUGAGAGGAUGAUCAGUCACACUGGAACUGAGACACGGUCCAGACUCCUACGGAGGCAGCAGUGGGGAAUAUUGCACAAUGGACGAAAGUUUGAUGCAGCAACGCCGCGUGGAGGAUGACACAUUUCGGUGCGUAAACUCCUUUUAUAUAGGAAGAUAAUGACGGUACUAUAUGAAUAAGCACCGGCUAACUCCGUGCCAGCCGCCGCAGUAA
rnacentral:rRNA from 1 species